GCAUACAAAACGUUACCUUUUCUUUAGCCAUUAAUUCAGCAUACUGUAAUUGAAAACAAUGAAACGACUUUCUCCAUUGAUUUUGGUUACACUCACUUCUCUACUCCUCCAGAGCCACUUUCCCUGUUCUUCGUUUCUGUGACCCCCUAUACGCUAGAGAUGAGAUUCCGACGCAGAAGAUGAAUUAACUUCUGCAAUUCAAACCUCUUUUGGCUUUGAUUCACUUCUCUCACAAAGACGCUUCCUUUUUUUUCGUUUCAAUUUCGCAGGUCUGAUCAAGUUUUCUUAUUUCAAUUUCGUAGACAUAGUUAGGGACUUUUUUUUUUUUACCUUCAUGGGGUGUUUGAUAAAAUUCCUGAAUGAGAAGUAGUACUGACAUUAAAUCCUUCCUGAAUGUGUAGCAAUUACAAGGUAUAAUCUUGGUUUCUGUCAUUGUCAUUUUCUGCCCAUAUUUUUUGUAUUGGUUUUCAAUACAUGGAGAAUGUCUACUAUGAUUUUGCAGCAAUUUUCUUGCUUAACAGUUGAUUUAUUUUAGUUAGUGUACUGAGAUAGAAGUUUAUAGACACCAAUUGAACAAUUACUUAAUAGAUUGAAAAGUGUGGCAUGGUUAAUAAAGUAAAUUUGAGUUUGUUCUUUCUUAUCUUUUGACGAGCAAAGUUGUUUUGGUUUUAGAUUUCACUAACUAAAACUAUCUCCAAUGAAAGUCGAACGAGGGUUGCAAAGAAAUUAUGUUCUAAUCUUGAGUUGAUUGUGUGUUCAGUCCAAAUGUGCCUAGCUUUCUUAGUAUCGUGUUCUCAUAAUGAGACAACUUUAGUUUAUUCAUAACAAAGGAUAUUGUAAUUACCUUGAUGACAAGUGAUAUGUGAGAUAAUUUAUGAUUAUUUUAUGAGAAAAUAAAUAUACCUUUUUAUAUAGGAUUUCCAUGGUUUCUUUUGCAGAUUUCUUACAAUAUGCCAUACAUUUGUGAAGGUUAUAUGCUAAGUUUCCCACAGGUUCAUAGUCCCAUUUUCAUUUUGUUGAUCAAAAAAAAAAACAUGGAAGGUACAUGUAUAUUAUGGAUUUCUGAAACUUUUCUCAUAUAUGCAAAACAGUUCGUUUUGGCUUCUCUGGCACUUUGCUCAUACAUGCAAAACAGUUCAAUUGUCGACUAUUAAUCCACUCUACUAAUUUAUAUAUAAAUUACAACCGGAGUCUAAACCCCAAGAGAGUUUUGAACUGAAGAGCCUAUUUUCCACAUCUGAAAGCAUGUUUAGGAUUUAAACAUCUAAACUUAAUGUUGAUUCAAUAAUGGCAAAACUUUAUAAACUCAUGGUUAAAAUAUUCUUCCGGAAAGUUUAAGGUUAUGUUGCAUUACUGCCACAAAUUAAAAGUAGGCCUGGUAGACUUAUUUAUUAGCCUAGGUUAUUCUCAGUUAAUUUCAAUAAUGAUAUUUGAGGUGAUUAAUUCGUAUAGAGAAGAUAACCCUUACACGGACAAACAUGCAAUAAUGUUCCAUUUGCUUGGGGAUGCAGUCCACGUCAUUGUUCCGAGUACAUAGCCACAUGUAACAUGAGGUGGGAUAGCUAAUGGCAUUUAUGGCCCAAAACAGCAAAUUUUCAUUCUUUAAAGUGGUGGAAGUAGUUGUUAGGGCAACUUCUCUGUUGAUCAUCAUUGAUCUUCUAGCGAAAUUACUAUCAGAUGGAGUGGAUAUUUCUGCAAAUAAGGAAGAAGCCAGAGAUGGAUCUGAGGACAAAUUGACAACAUAUAAGAAUUUUCUUUUCAAUAAUACUCUAAAAUGGAUGCCUCGAAGAGGGGAAGACAGAAACUUGACUAAUGGGAAGUUAGGUCUUGCUAAGGGUGCAAGAAAUCAAAAUUAGCUGGGUCUGCAACUGUAUACCCAUGUUUUCAAGUGGCUCCGUCCCUAAUGUUUAAUGCAAAUUAAGGGUCGGGAACAUACACGGUCAAACCUCAACUUCACCAACCUUCAUGACACAACUUUAAGAAUCAGCAGUGACGCUUCAAGGGAAACAAGGGCCUAAGUAUCACUCUUUCGAAGAAAAGCGAUCAUGUUAUAGGGGAACAUACAAUGAGUUAAUAAGGUCAUAUUAAGCAGUAACAGCAGCCCAAAACCCAUGCCGUUACCGCACGGUUCAUAUCCUAGUCUAGAUUAUAACAAAUUUGUUUAUUAAUUUCCCAUUGUGCUAUUAGUCAUAUAUAUAUAUAUAAAUAGUAAAUUUGUUAAUAACUAAAUAUGUCAAUGAAAAUUUAUGGUAGUUGUGCUGGUGGUGAUGUUAGUGGGUAGUAGAGGAGGCGCUAACGUUACUUA